GCGGUGGAGCAUGUGGUUUAAUUCGAAGCAACGCGCAGAACCUUACCAGCCCUUGACAUCCCGGUCGCGGAUCGCAGAGAUGCUUUCCUCAGUUCGGCUGGACCGGUGACAGGUGCUGCAUGGCUGUCGUCAGCUCGUGUCGCGAGAUGUUGGGUUAAGUCCCGCAACGAGCGCAACCCCCGCCUUCAGUUGCCAACGGUUCGGCCGUGCACUCUGGAGGAACUGCCUGUGACAAGCAGGAGGAAGGUGGGGAUGACGUCAAGUCCUCAUGGCCCUUAUGGGCUGGGCUACACACGUGCUACAAUGGCGGUGACAGAGGGAUGCAAUACCGCGAGGUGGAGCAAAUCCCUAAAAGCCGUCUCAGUUCGGAUUGUUCUCUGCAACUCGAGAGCAUGAAGUUGGAAUCGCUAGUAAUCGCGGAUCAGCUCGCCGCGGUGAAUACGUUCCCGGGCCUU
rnacentral:rRNA from 1 species